GAUGAACGCUAGCGGCAGGCCUAACACAUGCAAGUCGAGGGGUAGAACACUUCGGUGUUUGAGACCGGCGCACGGGUGCGUAACGCGUAUGCAAUCUACCUUAUACAGGGGAAUAGCCCAGAGAACUUUGGAUUAAUGCCCCAUAGCAUUACGACUUCGCAUCAAGAUGUAAUUAAAGUUCCAACGGUCUAAGAUGAGCAUGCGUCCCAUUAGUUAGUUGGUAAGGUAACGGCUUACCAAGACGAUGAUGGGUAGGGGUCCUGAGAGGGAGAUCCCCCACACUGGUACUGAGACACGGACCAGACUCCUACGGGAGGCAGCAGUGAGGAAUAUUGGUCAAUGGUCGCAAGACUGAACCAGCCAUGCCGCGUGCAGGAAGACGGUCCUAUGGAUUGUAAACUGCUUUUAUACAGGAAGAAACCCUCCCACGUGUGGGAGCUUGACGGUACUGUAGGAAUAAGGAUCGGCUAACUCCGUGCCAGCAGCCGCCGCCG
rnacentral:rRNA from 1 species